rnacentral:rRNA from 1 species
CCUACGGGUGGCAGCAGUGAGGAAUAUUGGUCAAUGGCCGUAAGGCUGAACCAGCCAAGUAGCGUGAGGGAAGACUGCCCUAUGGGUUGUAAACCUCUUUUAUGCGGGGAUAAAGGUGUACACGCGUGGAUGUUUGUAGGUACCGAAUGAAUAAGGACCGGCUAAUUCCGUGCGAGCAGCCGCGGUAAUACGGACGGUCCGGGCGUUAUCCGGAUUUAUUGGGUUUAAAGGGAGCGUAGGCCGGUCUUUAAGCGUGCCGUGAAAUUUUUGGGCUCAAUCAUGAGAGUGCGGCGCGAACUGGAGGCCUUGAGUGCACGGAAGGCAGGCGGAAUUCGUGGUGUAGCGGUGAAAUGCUUAGAUAUCACGAAGAACCCCAGUGGCGAAGGCGGCCUGCCGCAGCGUUACUGACGCUGAGGCUCGAAAGCGCGGGUAUCGAACGGGAUUAGAUACCCUAGUAGUC